rnacentral:rRNA from 1 species
CGGGUCCUACGGGGGCAGCAGUGGGGAAUAUUGCACAAUGGGGGAAACCCUGAUGCGGCGACGCCGCGUGAAGGAAGAAGUAUUUCGGUAUGUAAACUUCUAUCAGCAGGGAAGAAAAUGACGGUACCUGACUAAGAAGCCCCGGCUAACUACGUGCCAGCAGCCGCGGUAAUACGUAGGGGGCAAGCGUUAUCCGGAUUUACUGGGUGUAAAGGGAGCGUAGGCGGUUUAGCAAGUCAGAAGUGAAAGACCGGGGCUUAACUCCGGGACUGCUUUUGAAAAUGUUGAAUUAGAUUGAAG